rnacentral:rRNA from 1 species
UACAGAGGUCCCAAGCGUUGUUCGGAUUCACUGGGCGUAAAGGGUGCGUAGGUGGCAUGUUAAGUUUGAUGUGAAAGCUCAGGGCUUAACCCUGAAAUGGCAUUGAAUACUAGCGUGCUGGAGGUUUGGAGGGGGGACUGGAAUUCUUGGUGUAGCAGUGAAAUGCGUAGAUAUCGUAAGGAAGACCAGUGGCGAAGGCGGGUCUCUGGACAGUUCCUGACGCUGAGGCACGAAGGUCAGGGGAGCAAACGGG